GGAGGAAAAGAACUAACAAGGAUUCCCCUAGUAACUGCGAGUGAAGCGGGAAAAGCUCAAAUUUAAAAUCUGGCGGUCUCUGGUCGUCCGAGUUGUAAUCUAGAGAAGUGAUGCCCGCGCUGGACCGUGUACAAGUCUCCUGGAAUGGAGCGUCAUAGAGGGUGAGAAUCCCGUCUCUGACACGGACUACCAGGGCUUUGUGGUACGCUCUCAAAGAGUCGAGUUGUUUGGGAAUGCAGCUCAAAAUGGGUGGUAAAUUCCAUCUAAAGCUAAAUAUUGGCGAGAGACCGAUAGCGAACAAGUACCGUGAGGGAAAGAUGAAAAGAACUUUGGAAAGAGAGUUAAACAGUACGUGAAAUUGCUGAAAGGGAAACGCUUGAAGUCAGUCGCGUUGGCCGGGAAUCAGCCUCGCUCUUUUGCGUGGUGUACUUUCUGGUUGACGGGUCAGCAUCAAUUUUGACCGCUGGAAAAAGGCUUGAGGAAUGUGGCAGCUCCGGCUGUGUUAUAGCUUCAUGUCACAUACAGCGGUUGGGAUUGAGGAACUCAGCACGCCGCAAGGCCGGGUUUCGACCACGUUCGUGCUUAGGAUGCUGGCAUAAUGGCUUUA
rnacentral:rRNA from 2 species